UACGGAGGAUGCAAGCGUUAUCCGGAUUUAUUGGGUUUAAAGGGUGCGUAGGCUGGUUGUCAAGUCAGGGGUGAAAUACCACAGCUUAACUGUGGAACUGCCUUUGAUACUGGCAGUCUGGAAUACGGAUGCCGUAGGAGGAAUGAGUAGUGUAGCGGUGAAAUGCAUAGAUAUUACUCAGAACACCGAUUGCGAAGGCAUCUCACGAAUCCGUCAUUGACGCUGAGGCACGUAAGCGUGGGGAUCAAAC
rnacentral:rRNA from 1 species